rnacentral:sRNA from 1 species
UUUUAAAAUGCUGGUAAUGGUCUUUUUUUUCUUUUUUCUUGGCGAUUUUAAUGCUUUGGAAAAGAUCUCAUGGUUUUAUCUCCAAAGGAGGAAAUUAAUUUGAUGCCAUGGAAAUUAGUUUUCUAGUCGUAUGCCUUGAAUGAGUGAAGAAUUUCUUUUUCAUGGUGGUACUAAAUUUGGGGAAAGCUAUAGAAACUUUCAUCUGGAAGCUUACACUUUUCCUCUUUUUUGAAAAUUUGGUGAGAGACUUGGAUAUUUUAUUAUUUUCUGUAAAAGAUUGUAAUUUGUUGUACAGGUCUAAUAUUGAUCCUUUUUUGGAAGUAUGGAAAGAAUCUGAGUAUAAAGCAGAAUUACCUCUGGAUGACAUGUAUUCUCAAGGACAUUGUCACAGUGAAACAGUUUAUUUAGAAGCUUGUGUUUCCAAACUGUUGAAUUUGAUAUUCACAAAAUUGGCAUGUGUAAACUUUGUUAAACUUUAAGCUAUUUCCUAAGAUGAAGAUGACAAACUUGGAGGGAAACUUCAUUCAUUUGGUUUAUUUUUAUUUUUAUUUUUAUUUAUUUUUAUCUUUUUGAGACAGAAUCUCACUCUGGUUUGAGACAGAAUCUCACUCUGUCCCCCAAGUCGGAGUGCAGUGGUGCGAUCUCGGCUCACUGAAACCUCUGCCUCCUGGGUUCAAGCGAUUCUCCUGCUUCACCCUCCAGGUAGCUGGGAUUACAGGUGUGCACCACCACACCCAGCUAAUUUUUGUAUUUUUAGUAGAGACGGUUUCGCCACAUUGGCCAGGUUGGUGUCAAACUCCUGGCCUCAAAGUGAUCCGCCCACCUUGGCCUCCCAAAGUGGAGCCCCUGUGCCCCUUGUUUGUGACCUGUCAAUAUAAAUAUGCUCAGUAGUGGGGGGAGGGGUGGGGGGUGAAAAAGGAAAUACGUUUAAUAUUAAGACUUUGGCCUUUUAGUGUAAACUGAUAUUCAAAAAUUUCUUCAUAGAACAUUUGCUUCUUUGCUUGAUCAUUUUUCUAAUUCUGUACAUCUAAAAUGCCCAGAAUUUGAGUUGCUGUUAUAGUCUACUAACAUAGAACUUUGGAGUAAUAAGAUGGGAAUUUGUCUCUCUUUUGCCAAGACAAGCAUUCGUAAUCUAACACAGUAUUGUUGCCACGAGUACGAGUAUGUGAUAGACUGUUGAGAAUAAAGAAAGCAGGCACAGUUGGUCAGUCCUGAGAUAAAGGAGAUGUUUUUUCUUAUAUGUUUGUGCAUUAAAGAAAAAAAAAUCUUGAAUCUGACCAAUGAUGUUUUUUUUCCUUGUAAGAAAAUUUAACAAAUGUUUGGCAAGCUUCUGGAAUCUAAAUUUGAAAUUAUACAUUUGUCAUUUUCUUUAAAUAUUUCUUCACCUUAGCUUUGAUUAUGAGAAAUCACUGUCCUCUGCUGUUCUUUUUUUUUUUUUUUUUCUUUUGAGGCGGAGUCUCACUCUGUGCCAGGCUGGAGUGCAGUGGUGCAAUCUCGGCUCACUGCAACCUCCACUUCCUGGGUUCAGAUGAUUCUCCUGCCGCAGCCUCCCGAGUAGCUGGGACUACAGGUGCGUGCCACCACACCCAGCUAAUUUUUGUAUUUUUGGUAGAGACAGGGUUUCACCACGUUGUCCAUGGCCAGGAUGGUCUUGAUCUUGACCUUGUGAUCCGCCCACCUCGGCCUCCCAAAGUGCUGGGAUUGCAGGCGUGAGCCACCGCGCCCAGCCUGUCCUCUGUGGUUUUCUCGGCUUAUGUUAAAAUUGUAACUCAAUCACCAGUCUUUAUAAAUUUGCUUUUUUAUAUUUAAACCAAACUUAAUGCUAAUUGUGAUAUGUUAUUUAUUCUCACCUGAUUUGAAUCAUUGGAUUCAAUUAAAUGAGUUUAAUUAUCAUUAAAUAAUUCUAAGAGAAAUAAUGUCUAUUCGGAUGGUGGGAAUUUUCUUUCUACAUGCAGCCCCAUUCUGAAUGAAUGAAAUCAAAUCACGUGAAGAUCAGGGUCCUAGAGUAACUUAAUAUUUUGUACAUUGGUUAUUUGACUCCUCAUUUUUAUAUUACAUGUUAUAUCAAGGGAGGGGGUAUAAAAAAAAACAAAAAUUGCAGAGGUAUUUGGAAUGUACCUAUUUGUUAAUUCUAUUUGUCAUUUCUUUUGUUUCAUCUUUUGAGUAGUAAGCUGCUUGGAAAAGUUUCUGUUCUUUAGCUGAUUUUUUAGCUAUAAAAAUGUAUUUGAAAAGCUCAUAAAUUUCAGGAUUGAAAAGAUAAUUGAAAGUUUUAAAAAAACCUAAUUCAUUGAAGUAAUAACCAAAUAAUUUUCAAUCUUGAUUCAACUGUGAUUCAAAUCUUACACCAUUUGCCCACUUCUAUGAAUUUUAUGUAUAAAAAUUUUUAAGAGUCAGAGUUUUUUUUCUUGAUUAAUUGGAUGUAUUUCACAGAAUUUCCAACUGCUCACGUUAGUUUUCUUCCUUUUAGAGUUGAUCUCUCUAAUGUAUUAGAUCUUCAUGCCUUUGAUAGUCUCUCUGGAAUAAGUUUGCAGAAAAAACUUCAGCAUGUGCCAGGAACACAACCUCACCUUGAUCAGAGUAUUGUUACAAUCACAUUUGAAGUACCAGGAAAUGCAAAGGAAGAACAUCUUAAUAUGUUUAUUCAGAAUCUCCUGUGGGAAAAGAAUGUGAGAAACAAGGACAAUCACUGCAUGGAGGUCAUAAGGCUGAAGGGAUUGGUGUCAAUCAAAGACAAAUCACAACAAAUGAUUGUCCAGGGUGUCCAUGAGCUCUAUGAUCUGGAGGAGACUCCAGUGAGCUGGAAGGAUGACACUGAGAGAACAAAUCGAUUGGUCCUCCUUGGCAGAAAUUUAGAUAAGGAUAUCCUUAAACAGCUGUUUAUAGCUACUGUGACAGAAACAGAAAAGCAGUGGACAACACGUUCCAAAGAAGAUCAAGUUUGUACAUAACACUAGAGGCAUUUCUUAUCAAAAGGAUUGGAUAAUAAAAAUAAGUUUCUACUGGGUAUAUUUCAAGCAUUUAUUUAUUACUUUAGUUACGAAUUCCAAUAUACUUUAAAAUGGUAUUUGUUUUACAGCAUACAUAAAAUGUAGCAAAUCAGUACUGUAAAACAUUUAACAUUCAUACAAUUAUAUAUAAUAUCCUUUUUUUUAAAGAAUGGUAUUUCACAAAAAUAUCUUUUGAAAUUGGCUUUGGAGUUUACAUAUACUGAACAUGAAAGUUUAUAAUAAUGAUGAUACAACUUUCAACAUUGUCAUUUUUUCUUAGAACUUCAGCUGAUUGCAGAGAUAUAAUGAUUACAUUGUUAUUAAAUUUUUUUAACAC